rnacentral:rRNA from 1 species
UCGUGUGGUACCAUCAAUUUCGGUGCACGACCGAAAGUUUUUUCCCACAUAAAAGCAGUUUACAACCCGUAGGGCAGUCAUCCUGCACGCGGCAUGGCUGGGUCAGACUUGCGUCCAUUGCCCAAUAUUCCUU